rnacentral:rRNA from 1 species
GACAGAGGGGGCAAGCGUUGUCCGGAAUUACUGGGCGUACAGGGCACGCAGGUGGCUGCAUAGGUGGCGUGUGAAAGCCCCGCGCUUAACGCGGGGAGGCCACGCCAAACGGUGCGGCUCGAGCGAUGCAGAGGGUGGUGGAAUUGCCGGUGUAGUGGUGAAAUGCGUAGAGAUCGGCAGGAACACCAAGGACGAUGGUAACCACCUGGGCAUCAGCUGACACUCAUGUGCGACAGCGUGGGGAGCGAACCGG